CGAAUUGCUUGACGACCAUAGAGCGUUGGAACCACCUGAUCCCAUCCCGAACUCAGUAGUGAAACGACGCAUCGCCGAUGGUAGUGUGGGGUUUCCCCAUGUGAGAGUAGGUCAUCGUCAAGC
rnacentral:rRNA from 3 species